ACAUGGAGAUCCUCCUACUACAGAGGAGAGGAGGUAACAUGGAGAUCCUACUACUACAGAGGAGAGGAGGUAACAUGGAGAUCCUCCUACUACAGAGGAGAGGAGGUAACAUGGAGAUCCUACUACUACAGAGGAGAGGAGGUAACAUGGAGAUCCUACUACUACAGAGGAGAGGAGGUAACAUGGAGGUCUACUACGACAGAGGGAGGUCUACAGGAUAUCCUACUACUACGACAGAGGGAGGUCUACAGGAUAUCCUACUACUACGACAGAGGGAGGUCUACAGGAUAUCCUACUACUACGACAGAGGAGAGGAGGUAACAUGGAGAUCCUACUACUACAGAGGAGAGGAGGUAACAUGGAGAUCUACUACGACAGAGGGAGGUCUACAGGAUAUCCUACUACUACGACAGAGGGAGGUCUACAGGAGAUCUACUACGACAGAGGGAGGUCUACAGGAUAUCUACUACGACAGGGGAGGUCUACAGGAUAUCCUACUACUACGACAGAGGGAGGUCUACAGGAUAUCCUACUACUACAGAGGAGAGGAGGUAACAUGGAGAUCUACUACGACAGAGGGAGGUCUACAGGAGAUCUACUACUACAGAGGGAGGUCUACAGGAUAUCUACUACGACAGGGGAGGUCUACAGGAUAUCUACUACGACAGGGGAGGUCUACAGGAUAUCCUACUACUACGACAGAGAGGAGGUCUACAGGAUAUCCUACUACUACAGAGAGGUGGUAACAUGGAGAUCUACUACGACAGAGGGAGGUCUACAGGAGAUCUACUACUACAGAGGGAGGUCUACAGGAUAUCUACUACGACAGGGGAGGUCUACAGGAUAU
ensembl:lncRNA